GAGAAGCCAGCGUUACUCAGUUCAGAAGGAAACGCUGCCAAAACUGCAUGAAAAACUGUUGAUUUGGAACUGUGUCAUAAAACAGAACAAGAGUAAAGGGUUGAACUGGCUGCUUCAGCCUGAAACAGCUCUCCUGGGUUGAUCCUGCUGAUUUUACUGUUGAUGGCAGAGAAAGACAAAACAAACACAAAGGCAAUGUGGCAACGAACACAGUCCUAACUGGCUUGAAUUCUUCGGCUUACUCCAGUCUUCAUUUAUCCCAACACUGGGAUACAAGGUUUCCGAGGCCACUUUUUUCUAUGAAAUUCUCCACGUUUUUUGACUUAAAGAAAAACUUUCAUCUUUCAGUAAAGAAUCCAUCCAAAUUUGAAGAAGAGGAUUAAAAAGUUCAGAUGUUAUUCCAAACGGAUGUUAAAAAAACAGCCAAACUAUCAGAAAUGAAGUAGGACGGCAAGCAAUUAUUUGAAGCAGCUGGGUUACAAGAAGGACUUCUCACAUGUUAUUACACGCAAAGGAAU
rnacentral:lncRNA from 1 species